GUCGGGAUAGCUCAGCUGGUAGAGCAGAGGACUGAAAAAUCCUCGU
rnacentral:tRNA from 1 species